AUGGUUGUGCGUUUCGCAGAGCUACACAGAGACCGGGUUGAUAAAGCAGGCAAUAGGAUGGCUGGAGAAAAGUGUGAUCAACUAGAGACCAAGACCGAGCUUCUUCCACUUUUAGUGGACACUAUCAAAGGAAAGAGUGUUUUUCUUGUCCUGGAUGAUGUGUGGAAAUCUGAUGUCUGGAUUGAUCUUCUUCUAUCGCCUUUCAUGAGAGCCUUUAAUUUCCAUGUCCUUGUCACCACAAGAGACAUGGAUGUUUUGUCAGAAAUGCAUGCAAUAUAUACCCACCGAGUAAACAAAAUGAAUUACAAUGAUGGCUUAGAACUGCUUAUGAAGAAGUCCUUUCAGUUGUCCGAGCAAAUAAGUGAAUUCAAGAAUAUGGGGUAUGAAAUUGUAAAGAAAUGUGAUGGCCUUCCUCUUGCCAUAAAGGUCGUUGCAGGUGUCCUAUCUACCAAAAAAACAGUUGCCGAAUGGAAGAGCAUCCGAGAUAGCAAAUGGUCCAUUCAUGGACUCCCAAAAGAACUUGGAGGCCCACUGUAUUUAAGUUACAACAAUUUACCCCCUCGACUCAAGCAGUGCUUUCUCUGGUGUGCUUUGUUGCCUCCUAAUUUUGAAAUCCACCGUGAUGCUGUAGCUUACUGGUGGUUUGCCGAAGGUUUUGUGAGGAAAGAGCAUGAGUUCUCAGUACAUGAAAUUGCUGAAGAGUAUUAUCUUGAGCUAGUUCGGAGGAAUCUUAUUCAACCAAUACCAAAGUAUGUAGACAAGGCUGUGUCAACAAUGCAUGAUCUAUUGAGGUCACUUGGACAAUAUCUGACAAAGGAUCACUCCCUAUUCAUGAAUGCGGAAAAUAACAAUGCCAUGUCGAAUCUGCGCCGCAUAGGCAUCAGCCAUGCUGUAGAAAAAAUACCCGCUCUAGAAGAGCAUAAGUGUUUGAGGAGCCUCCUACUGUUUAAUAACAAGAACUUCAAGUCGAUUCACAAGGAAAUUUUCAGAAAGCUCGAGCAUAUCCGUAUUUUAGUUCUCAGCGGAACAAGCAUCCAAAAUAUACCAGAGUCACUGGGGAACUUGGUGCUAUUGAGGUUGCUAGAUCUGAGCUAUACUGAAAUUAACACGCUUCCAGAGUCCACAGGAAGCCUCAUCAGCCUUGAAUACCUCUCUUUGCUUGGUUGCCAUCAUCUGGAUAGCCUGCCAGCUGGUCUCAUGAGACUGUCCAACAUAAGUUUUUUGCAAUUAGAACAGACUGCAGUUGAUCAUGUUCCAAAAGGGAUUGCAAAGUUUCAGCAGCUCUACAACCUAAGAGGAGUUUUCGAGAGUGGUACUGGAUUCAGAUUAGAUGAAUUGAGACGCCUCCCCAAUAUCCAACGUCUGUGGGUUGAGAAGCUAGAGACAGCGGCACCAGGGGCUGAACUUGUACUGAAGAACAGUCAUAAUCUUAGAGAACUGGGACUGCGCUGCACAGUGGCCAGUACACAAGAGAGAACUCGUUACCAGACUGAUGAGGUUGAGAGAAUUCAGCAAGUCUAUGAUAUGCUUAUUCCAUCACCAAGCCUUGUAUAUAUUUUUCUGGAAGGGUUCCUGGGUAUAAGGUUCCCAGAAUGGCUACUCUCAGAACCGGAGCUUAGUAUGCCAAGUUUGUGUCAUAUGCACCUCAAUGAGUGUGUAUCAUGUUCAGAGCUUCCACCAGCAGGUCAGAUGCCAGAAUUGCUAGUUCUUCAGAUUAAAGAUGCAGAUGAAGUUGUAACUAUUGGCACAGAACUCCUGGGGAAAGGUGUGAGAAGUGCAGCGGCUUUUUUCCCAAAACUCAAACUGCUUCACAUCAUUGGCAUGUGCAAUUUGGAAAAAUGGUCACUGAACAGAAAUAUGUGUGAUGACAUGGAGGACAACUCUCAACAGCUCUCUCUGAUGCCUUGCCUUAAGCGUCUGCUGCUUCUUGAUUGCCCCAAACUGAGAGCUCUGCCUCAAGACAUGUCCAUGAUUGUUAAUUUGAAGAGAAUCCACAUUGAAGGUGCUCACAAGCUUCAAGAAGUUGUCAAUCUUCCUGCCGUUCUGUGGCUCAAGGUGAAGAACAACGCAUGUUUGAGGAGGAUUUCUAACCUCUGUAAGUUGCAGCACCUGUUUGUACAGGACUGCCCAAUGCUGGAUCAGGCAGAGAACCUGUGCUCGCUGAAUAGGGUGUACAUGAUUGACUGCCCACAUGUCCAAGAGUUCAGGAAUUGUCUCGCGGAAGAAGAGCAAGGCAUCCUAGUCCAUGUUGCAGCAGAUGGACGUAAUAUCUUCCCGGAUGAAUCUCUCUAUAAUUAG
rnacentral:rRNA from 1 species